rnacentral:rRNA from 1 species
GAUGAACGCUAGCGGCAGGCUUAAUACAUGCAAGUCGAGGGGCAGCGCAGUGUAGCAAUACAUGGGCGGCGACCGGCAAACGGGUGCGGAACACGUACAGAACCUUCCUUUAAGCGGGGGAUAGCCCAGAGAAAUUUGGAUUAAUACCCCAUAGUAUUGUUGAGUGGCAUCACUUGAUGAUUAAAGAUUUAUCACUUAAAGAUGGCUGUGCGGCUGAUUAGGUAGUUGGCGGGGUAAUGGCCCACCAAGCCUUCGAUCAGUAACUGGUGUGAGAGCACGAACAGUCACACGGGAACUGAGACACGGGCCCGACUCCUACGGGAGGCAGCAGUAAGGAAUAUUGGGCAAUGGACGCAAGUCUGACCCAGCCAUGCCGCGUGGAGGAUGAAGGUCCUCUGGAUUGUAAACUUCUUUUAUUUGGGAAGAAACCCGGAUUUUCUAAUUCGGUUGACGGUACCAGAUGAAUAAGCACCGGCUAACUCCGUGCCAGCCGCCGCAGUAACAC